AGAAGGUAUUGCCACAAGACCUGGGAAAAUUUCCUGCAGUGGACAGGGUUCUUACAACUGGUGAUGAAAAAUCUUUCUUAUAUUCUCACAAUGAUCACUGAUCGAUAAAAAAGCCAGAAGAGAAUAACAAAGCUGAAAGUUAAAUAAUGUAAUGUUUAGACAACUGGUGUGCAGUAUGGAUUCAGACCUCCUUAGAAGAAAGCUUCUAAUGCAAGAUGUUGAGGCAUCAUAUAUCAAGAAAAAAAGUAUUUGGAUGCACUAUCAGCUCUAAUAGAGUAGCUGUACAUUACCUAUGCUCCAAGAACCAGCAAGAAUUUUAAGUUCAACUACAAUUUUGCCUUCACAACACAAAAAAAAUGCUACCUGAACCGGAUUCAUAGCAUCUCACGUAAAGUCAAGGAUAUUCAUAUAUAACAAGCUUUCUUGGAGGGGGCUAGUUUGAUGUUGUCUAAUGUACCUGCUCAAAACAGAGAUUCUGAAACAAGAUAUCAAAUUGUUCACUAAGUUAGCAGAAGCUGGACCUUGUAAAGCAAAAGCACAGUCUCUCAGGGAAAGAGUUUGACUGUUGCAUUUGUAAG
rnacentral:lncRNA from 1 species